GCCGAUGUGGUGAAAUUGGUAGACACGACGGAUUCAAAAUCCGUUUCCUUCGGGAGUGGCGGUUCAAGUCCGCCCAUCGGUACCA
rnacentral:tRNA from 26 species